GUCUUCGUGGUGUAGUGGUCAACACGCUCGACCCGUAUUCGAGAGGUCUGUUGUUCAAGUCCCGGCGAAAGCA
rnacentral:tRNA from 1 species